rnacentral:rRNA from 1 species
GAUGAACGCUGGCGGCGUGCCUAAUACAUGCAAGUCGAGCGAACGGACGAGAAGCUUGCUUCUCUGAUGUUAGCGGCGGACGGGUGAGUAACACGUGGAUAACCUACCUAUAAGACUGGGAUAACUUCGGGAAACCGUAGCCAAUACCGGAUAAUAUUUUGAACCGCAUGGUUCAAAAGUGAAAGACGGUCUUGCUGUCACGUAUAGAUGGAUCCGGGCUUCAUUAGCUAGUUGGUAAGGUACAGGCUUACAAAGGCAACGAUGCAUAGCCGACGUGAGAGGGUGAUCGGCCACACGGGAGCUGGACCGCGGUCCAUGCUCCUACGGGAGGCAGCAGUCGGGAAUCUUCCGCAGAGGGCGGAAGCCUGGCGGAACGGCGCCGCGUGAGUGAUGAAGGUCUUCGGAUCGUAAAACUCUGUUAUGAGUGGAGAACAUAUGUGUAAGUAACUGUGCACAUAUUGACGGUACCUGAUCAGAAAGCCACGGCUAACUACGUG